rnacentral:rRNA from 1 species
UGGGGAAUAUUGGACAAUGGGCGAAAGCCUGAUCCAGCCAUGCCGCGUGUGUGAAGAAGGUCUUCGGAUUGUAAAGCACUUUAAGCGAGGAGGAGGGUACUGGUAUUAAUACUACCAGGUACUGGACGUUACUCGCAGAAUAAGCACCGGCUAACUCUGUGCCAGCAGCCGCGGUAAUACAGAGGGUGCAAGCGUUAAUCGGAAUUACUGGGCGUAAAGCGCGCGUAGGUGGUUCGUUAAGUUGAAUGUGAAAGCCCCGGGCUCAACCUGGGAACUGCAUCCAAAACUGGCGAGCUAGAGUAGGGCAGAGGGUGGUGGAAUUUCCUGUGUAGCGGUGAAAUGCGUAGAUAUAGGAAGGAACACCAGUGGCGAAGGCGACCACCUGGGCUCAUACUGACACUGAGGUGCGAAAGCGUGGGGAGCAAACAGG